rnacentral:rRNA from 1 species
CCUACGGGAGGCAGCAGUGAGGAAUAUUGGUCAAUGGGCGCGAGCCUGAACCAGCCAAGUAGCGUGAAGGAUGACUGCCCUACGGGUUGUAAACUUCUUUUAUAAAGGAGUAAAGUGAGGCACGUGUGCCUUUUUGGAUGUACUUUAUGAAUAAGGAUCGACUAAAGCCGUGCCAGCAGCCGCGGGAAUACGGAGGGUCCGAACGUUAUCCGGAUUUAUUGGGGUUAAAGGGAGCGUAGAUGGGUUGUUAAGUCAGUCGUGAAAGUGUGCGUCUCAACCGUAAAAUUGCAAUUGAUACUGGCAGCCUUGAGUACAGUAGAGGUAGGCGGAAUUCGUGGUGUAGCGGUGAAAUGCUUAGAUAUCACGAAGAACUCCGAUUGCGAAGGCAGCCUACUAAACUGCCACUGACAUUGAUGCUCGAAAGUGUGGGUAUCAAACAGGAUUAGAUACCCUUGUAGUC